rnacentral:tRNA from 1 species
GCCGGGGUGGUGUACGCGGUGUGCACGGAUCUCUGAAAAAGAUCAGGUCGCAGUUCAACUCUGCGCCCCGGCA